AACGCGAAGACGGAUAAUAAUAAUAAUAAAAAAAAAUAGCGCUUUCUGGUAACUGCGCCCUGCGUCUGAUUUAUAUUUCCCGAGGUAUCUGGAGUCCUCGUCAGUAGUAUAAGUGUUCUUACCCUGUUCAUUUUACAUCUCUGCAAUAUAGGUACUUCGACUGAGCAACAUGAGAAUCUCGUUGGCAGUAGCUCUCACCUUCGCCUCUUUUGCAGUGGAACUCGGACAUUUGGGAUACUCUGAAGCUGCCGAGGAAAAGGAAUGUGAACAUGGCUGUCCUAGAAUAUAUAACCCAGUCUGUGCCAGCGAUGGGCAACUAUAUGGUAACAAUUGUGUUUUCGAAAUAGCUGCUUGCAAGGACCCUUCCAUACAACGAGCGCCUGAUGGCGCAUGUAAGAGAAUAAAGUUAGUACUUAUCUACAGAUUUGAUUAA